rnacentral:rRNA from 1 species
ACUCCUACGGGAGGCAGCAGUGGGGAAUAUUGCACAAUGGGGGAAACCCUGAUGCAGCCAUGCCGCGUGUGUGAAGAAGGCCUUCGGGUUGUAAAGCACUUUCAGCGAGGAGGAAAGGUUGGCGCCUAAUACGUGUCAACUGUGACGUUACUCGCAGAAGAAGCACCGGCUAACUCCGUGCCAGCAGCCGCGGUAAUACGGAGGGUGCAAGCGUUAAUCGGAAUUACUGGGCGUAAAGCGCACGCAGGCGGUUGGAUAAGUUAGAUGUGAAAGCCCCGGGCUCAACCUGGGAAUUGCAUUUAAAACUGUCUAGCUAGAGUCUUGUAGAGGGGGGUAGAAUUCCAGGUGUAGCGGUGAAAUGCGUAGAGAUCUGGAGGAAUACCGGUGGCGAAGGC